AAAGCUCAGGAGUCAGUGCUGGAAUUAUUUAUGUCGUUAAUACAUAUUAUUUUUGAUCAGUAUCACCCAACUCCCUUAGCAAGUGGGAAGCACUAUCUCUCCUCUAAUCUCAUCGGUGCAGCUCUCCUACUAUUAUGUAAGGUUCAGUCCCAGGAAGUGAUCAGCUCAGCCUCCUGCAAAGUCAAGACAUAUUACAUUCAUUAGUACCUUCUCCUCCAGUCAGCUCCUAACUUCCUCAGAGACUGCAGUCAGGUGGGUGAUAGCUGACCUACCUUCUUUGAAGUCACCUCAUGAUUGGCAGGUCAUGAUGAGGCCGGAAUGUACUUAACACAAACUUGUAACCCUCUUUAGUCUGAUACUUUUAUUAAGGAACACAACUGGAAACAUUGAAUAAAGCCAUGCAUCUGUUCUAAGUGUAAAGUGUUCAAGUAAUGCAUUGUAAAGCUUUACUGUUUGUUGGAAAAAAUAAUUUAACCUAACUUCUCCUCAUUUGCAUAUGAAAAAGGGAUCUCUGGACAGAGCAAUUUAUCUAAAAUCUCUCCAUAAGUGAGUGGCAGAAUCAGCUUCAAAAUAAGGAGUGGGGCAUUUCCUUUGUAGCUUACUGGGUUAAGAACCCAACUAGUAUCCAUGAGGAUGUGGGUUCAAUCUCUGACCUCAUUCAUUGGGUUAAGGAUCUGGCAUUACCACAAACUGUGGUGCAGGACUCAAAAUGCAGCUGAGAUCCUGCAUUGCUGCAGUUGUGGUAUAGGCUGUCAGCUGCAGCUCCAAUUCGACCCCUAGCCUGGAAACCUCCAUAUGUCAUGGGUAUGGCCCUAAGGGAAAAAAAAAAAAAAGUCCUAAAUGUCCAUCUAAAAGUAGGCAAUGGACGCUUACUGCCUAAACUUCACCAAUGGGGAACUUUUUUUUUUUUUACUAGUUUUUACUUAGAAACUAUCUUUAGGGGUUCAAGCUCCUCAACAUCUAAUUAUAGUUGCUUGCAAAUGCAUGACUUUCUAUUGAAAGGAAUGGAGUAAAAUAGUAUUGCUUAUCAAUUUACUGAAUUCUGAGAUUUAGAGAGGCCUGACAUGUGUUGGUCACAAAUUCUGAUUUCCCUGAAGAAGUUCAAGAUUGUUUUAUUUCACAGUGAGAAUUGUCCCCAGAUGGAUUAAGAAUGAACAGAGAUGCUCAGGAUUCUGGAAGAGCUCAGUAUGAGGGUGGAACUUGAGGUUGAAAGGCGUGGAGGAGGUGAAAUGUCCUCUUCUGACCUCUGUGGUUCAUGUGUUUCAUUCUAAAAAACUGGUUAGAGAAGUGGCAAGAUGGCUUCUGGAGAUGAAUUCUACCUAGGAAGAGCCAUGCCCUCUCAGAGCCAGACAAAUUCAAAGCCAGGUCCAGAAAGAAAGGAGUCCUGGUGUGGGCAUCUGGGGUGAUUUCUGCAUGGGUCCAUUCAUUCUCAGCUUUCUCCCUGUCUCCAACCUCGUACACUGUUGCCCACCCCACAUAUUUUCUGUUUCCAGUUCUCCCCUUUCACUUCUCCUUCCAAUAAAGCACAGCUUCUGUCUUCUUGACGCCACCUCCAUUGUCACGACCUGCAAUAACCCCCAUGCCCCUAACCUAAGGACCUUUAUUGCUUCCCAUUUAACUUGGGUUCUUGGUGAUUGUAAGCAUGUAUGUGGCAAACACUCCUUCACGACUCUGUCUUUCUCUAGCUUCCAAACCAAAUGGUUUCUCUUAUAUGUCUACCAUUUAUUUGUCAGUGUUCUUUCCUGGUUUAUUUUCUUGCAUACAUUAGAUGAGAAACUUCCUUAGGAGUGAACACUAGACCCAUUUCUCCUGCUAUAGUCUUUACUUGGAGAUAUUCUUACCCUUACUCUUUUAAUUUGCACAUUUUUGUUGUGAUGAUUCCCACAUGCACAUCAUCCGUUCAAGCUUUUCCUCUGAAGUCCAACGUUCUACUUGAAUUAUCCACUUGGAUGAAAACACCUCCGAGUCUACUUGUCCAUAAUGAACUUAAAAUACCCUUCAAAAUAUAUUAUUCCUCCAGUGUUUUCCUGCCUCAGAGCAGAAAGUCAUAAACCCCACCAGAGCAGAAAGUGAGGUAUCAUCCUUCAGAGCCCCUUGUUUCUUACCUACUAUUUUAAAGUCAUGUUAAUUAGCUU
rnacentral:lncRNA from 1 species